rnacentral:rRNA from 1 species
GAACGGUUGGCGGCGUGGAUUAGGCAUGCAAGUCGCACGAGAACCCGCGAAGGGGGACAGUGGCAAACGGCGUAGUAAGGCGUAGGUGACGUACCCCGAGGACCGGGAUAGCCACGGGAAACUGUGGGUAAUACCGGAUAAUUCCCCUCUUCUUGAAAAGGAGGGGGCAAAGGUGAGAGUCCGUCUUGGGAGCGGCUUACGUAGUAUUAGCUAGUUGGUGAGGUGACGGCUCACCAAGGCGAUGAUGCUUAGGGGGUGUUAGCGCAUGACCCCCACGACUGGGACUGAGAUACUGCCCAGACACCUACGGGUGGCUGCAGUCGAGAAUCUUCGGCAAUGGGCGCAAGCCUGACCGAGCGACGCCGCGUGCGGGAUGAAGGCCCUUGGGUUGUAAACCGCUGUCAGAGGGGAUGAAAUGUAUGUGGGCACUCCCAUGUAUUUGACAUAGCCUCAGAGGAAGCACGGGCUAAGUUCGUG